rnacentral:rRNA from 1 species
GAGCUUGCUCCUUUGACGUUAGCGGCGGACGGGUGAGUAACACGUGGAUAACCUACCUAUAAGACUGGGAUAACUUCGGGAAACCGGAGCUAAUACCGGAUAACAUAUUGAACCGCAUGGUUCAAUAGUGAAAGGCGGCUUUGCUGUCACUUAUAGAUGGAUCCGCGCCGUAUUAGCUAGUUGGUAAGGUAACGGCUUACCAAGGCAACGAUACGUAGCCGACCUGAGAGGGUGAUCGGCCACACUGGAACUGAGACACGGUCCAGACUCCUACGGGAGGCAGCAGUAGGGAAUCUUCCGCAAUGGGCGAAAGCCUGACGGAGCAACGCCGCGUGAGUGAUGAAGGUCUUCGGAUCGUAAAACUCUGUUAUCAGGGAAGAACAAAUGUGUAAGUAACUGUGCACAUCUUGACGGUACCUGAUCAGAAAGCCACGGCUAACUACGUGCCAGCAGCCGCGGUAAUACGUAGGUGGCAAGCGUUAUCCGGAAUUAUUGGGCGUAAAGCGCGCGUAGGCGGUUUUUUAAGUCUGAUGUGAAAGCCCACGGCUCAACCGUGGAGGGUCAUUGGAAACUGGAAAACUUGAGUGCAGAAGAGGAAAGUGGAAUUCCAUGGGUUAUAACCGG